ACCGGGAGAUAGCUGGUUCUCCCCGAAAGCUAUUUAGGUAGCGCCUCGUGAAUUCAUCUCCGGGGGUAGAGCACUGUUUCGGCAAGGGGGUCAUCCCGACUUACCAACCCGAUGCAAACUGCGAAUACCGGAGAAUGUUAUCACGGGAGACACACGGCGGGUGCUAACGUCCGUCGUGAAGAGGGAAACAACCCAGACCGCCAGCUAAGGUCCCAAAGUCAUGGUUAAGUGGGAAACGAUGUGGGAAGGCCCAGACAGCCAGGAUGUUGGCUUAGAAGCAGCCAUCAUUUAAAGAAAGCGUAAUAGCUCACUGGUCGAGUCGGCCUGCGCGGAAGAUGUAACGGGGCUAAACCAUGCACCGAAGCUGCGGCAGCGACACUGUGUGUUGUUGGGUAGGGGAGCGUUCUGUAAGCCUGUGAAGGUGUGCUGUGAGGCAUGCUGGAGGUAUCAGAAGUGCGAAUGCUGACAUAAGUAACGAUAAAGCGGGUGAAAAGCCCGCUCGCCGGAAGACCAAGGGUUCCUGUCCAACGUUAAUCGGGGCAGGGUGAGUCGACCCCUAAGGCGAGGCCGAAAGGCGUAGUCGAUGGGAAACAGGUUAAUAUUCCUGUACUUGGUGUUACUGCGAAGGGGGGACGGAGAAGGCUAUGUUGGCCGGGCGACGGUUGUCCCGGUUUAAGCGUGUAGGCUGGUUUUCCAGGCAAAUCCGGAAAAUCAAGGCUGAGGCGUGAUGACGAGGCACUACGGUGCUGAAGCAACAAAUGCCCUGCUUCCAGGAAAAGCCUCUAAGCAUCAGGUAACAUCAAAUCGUACCCCAAACCGACACAGGUGGUCAGGUAGAGAAUACCAAGGCGCUUGAGAGAACUCGGGUGAAGGAACUAGGCAAAAUGGUGCCGUAACUUCGGGAGAAGGCACGCUGAUAUGUAGGUGAAGUCCCUCGCGGAUGGAGCUGAAAUCAGUCGAAGAUACCAGCUGGCUGCAACUGUUUAUUAAAAACACAGCACUGUGCAAACACGAAAGUGGACGUAUACGGUGUGACGCCUGCCCGGUGCCGGAAGGUUAAUUGAUGGGGUCAGCGCAAGCGAAGCUCUUGAUCGAAGCCCCGGUAAACGGCGGCCGUAACUAUAACGGUCCUAAGGUAGCGAAAUUCCUUGUCGGGUAAGUUCCGACCUGCACGAAUGGCGUAAUGAUGGCCAGGCUGUCUCCACCCGAGACUCAGUGAAAUUGAACUCGCUGUGAAGAUGCAGUGUACCCGCGGCAAGACGGAAAGACCCCGUGAACCUUUACUAUAGCUUGACACUGAACAUUGAGCCUUGAUGUGUAGGAUAGGUGGGAGGCUUUGAAGUGUGGACGCCAGUCUGCAUGGAGCCGACCUUGAAAUACCACCCUUUAAUGUUUGAUGUUCUAACGUGGACCCGUGAUCCGGGUUGCGGACAGUGUCUGGUGGGUAGUUUGACUGGGGCGGUCUCCUCCUAAAGAGUAACGGAGGAGCACGAAGGUUGGCUAAUCCUGGUCGGACAUCAGGAGGUUAGUGCAAUGGCAUAAGCCAGCUUGACUGCGAGCGUGACGGCGCGAGCAGGUGCGAAAGCAGGUCAUAGUGAUCCGGUGGUUCUGAAUGGAAGGGCCAUCGCUCAACGGAUAAAAGGUACUCCGGGGAUAACAGGCUGAUACCGCCCAAGAGUUCAUAUCGACGGCGGUGUUUGGCACCUCGAUGUCGGCUCAUCACAUCCUGGGGCUGAAGUAGGUCCCAAGGGUAUGGCUGUUCGCCAUUUAAAGUGGUACGCGAGCUGGGUUUAGAACGUCGUGAGACAGUUCGGUCCCUAUCUGCCGUGGGCGCUGGAGAACUGAGGGGGGCUGCUCCUAGUACGAGAGGACCGGAGUGGACGCAUCACUGGUGUUCGGGUUGUCAUGCCAAUGGCACUGCCCGGUAGCUAAAUGCGGAAGAGAUAAGUGCUGAAAGCAUCUAAGCACGAAACUUGCCCCGAGAUGAGUUCUCCCUGACCCUUUAAGGGUCCUGAAGGAACGUU
rnacentral:rRNA from 1 species